rnacentral:rRNA from 1 species
UACGAACUGUGCAAACGUUAUUCGGAAUCACUGGGCUUAAAGGGUGCGUAGGCGGCUUGUUAAGUAGGGUGUGAAAUCCCAGGGCUCAACCUUGGAAUUGCGCCCUAAACUGGCGAGCUGGAGUGAGAUAGGGGUGUGUGGAACUUCCAGUGGAGCGGUGAAAUGUGUUGAUAUUGGAAGGAACGCCAGUGGCGAAAGCGACACACUGGGUCUCAACUGACGCUGAGGCACGAAAGCCAGGGGAGCAAACGGG